rnacentral:rRNA from 1 species
UCUACCCAUGUCCAGGAUGAAGGUAAGGUAAUACUUACUGGAGGUCCGAACCCACGCACGUUGAAAAGUGCGGGGAUGAGGUGUGGGUAGCGGAGAAAUUCCAAUCGAACUUGGAGAUAGCUGGUUCUCUCCGAAAUAGCUUUAGGGCUAGCCUCGAGGUAAAGAGUCAUGGAGGUAGAGCACUGUUUGGACUAGGGGCCCUUCUCGGGUUACCGAAUUCAGAUAAACUCCGAAUGCCAUGUACUUAUACUCGGGAGUCAGACUGCGAGUGAUAAGAUCCGUAGUCGAAAGGGAAACAGCCCAGACCACCAGUUAAGGUCCCCAAAUAUAUGUUAAGUGGAAAAGGAUGUGGGGUUGCUUAGACAACCAGGAUGUUGGCUUAGAAGCAGCCACCAUUGAAAGAGUGCGUAAUAGCUCACUGGUCGAGUGACCCCGCGCCGAAAAUGUACCGGGGCUAAACAUAUUACCGAAACUGUGGAUGAACCUCUUUAGAGGUUCGUGGUAGGAGAGCGUUCUAAGGGCGGUGAAGUCAGACCGGAAGGACUGGUGGAGCGCUUAGAAGUGAGAAUGCCGGUAUGAGUAGCGAAAGAAGGGUGAGAAUCCCUUCCACCGAAUAUCUAAGGUUUCCUGAGGAAGGCUCGUCCGCUCAGGGUUAGUCGGGACCUAAGCCGAGGCCGAUAGGCGUAGGCGAUGGACAACAGGUAGAGAUUCCUGUACCAGUGCUAAUUGUUUAACCGAUGGGGUGACACAGAAGGAUAGGGAAUCGCACGAAUGGAAAUGUGCGUCCAAGCAGUGAGUGUGAGAAGUAGGCAAAUCCGCUUCUCGCGAAGCAUGAGCUGUGAUGGGGAAGGAAAUUAAGUACGGAAGUUCCUGAUUUCACGCUGUCAAGAAAAGCCUCUAGGAAGAGUAGUACUGCCCGUACCGCAAACCGACACAGGUAGAUGAGGAGAGAAUCCUAAGGUGAGCGAGAGAACUCUCGUUAAGGAACUCGGCAAAAUGACCCCGUAACUUCGGGAGAAGGGGUGCUCUAUUAGGGUGCAAGCCCGAGAGAGCCGCAGUGAAUAGGCCCAGGCGACUGUUUAGCAAAAACACAGGUCUCUGCAAAACCGUAAGGUGACGUAUAGGGGCUGACGCCUGCCCGGUGCUGGAAGGUUAAGAGGAGUGCUUAGCUUCGGCGAAGGUACGAAUUGAAGCCCCAGUAAACGGCGGCCGUAACUAUAACGGUCCUAAGGUAGCGAAAUUCCUUGUCGGGUAAGUUCCGACCCGCACGAAAGGCGCAACGAUCUGGGCACUGUCUCAACGAGAGACUCGGUGAAAUUAUAGUACCUGUGAAGAUGCAGGUUACCCGCGACAGGACGGAAAGACCCCGUGGAGCUUUACUGCAACCUGAUAUGGAAUGUUUGUACCGCUUGUACAGGAUAGGUAGGAGCCGAAGAGACGUGUGCGCUAGCAUACGAGGAGGCAAUGGUGGGAUACUACCCUGGCUGUAUGACCAUUCUAACCCGCCACGCUUAGCGCGUGGGGAGACAGUGUCAGGUGGGCAGUUUGACUGGGGCGGUCGCCUCCUAAAGAGUAACGGAGGCGCCCAAAGGUUCCCUCAGAAUGGAUGGAAAUCAUUCGCAGAGUGUAAAGGCACAAGGGAGCUUGACUGCGAGACUGACAAGUCGAGCAGGGACGAAAGUCGGGCUUAGUGAUCCGGUGGUUCCGCAUGGAAGGGCCAUCGCUCAACGGAUAAAAGCUACCCCGGGGAUAACAGGCUUAUCUCCCCCAAGAGUCCACAUCGACGGGGAGGUUUGGCACCUCGAUGUCGGCUCGUCGCAUCCUGGGGCUGUAGUCGGUCCCAAGGGUUGGGCUGUUCGCCCAUUAAAGCGGCACGCGAGCUGGGUUCAGAACGUCGUGAGACAGUUCGGUCCCUAUCCGUCGCGGGCGCAGGAAAUUUGAGAGGAGCUGUCCUUAGUACGAGAGGACCGGGAUGGACACACCGCUGGUGUACCAGUUGUUCCGCCAGGAGCAUCGCUGGGUAGCUAUGUGUGGCAGGGAUAAACGCUGAAAGCAUCUAAGCGUGAAGCCCCCCUCAAGAUGAGAUUUCCCAUUUCUUCGGAAAGUAAGAUCCCUGAAAGAUGAUCAGGUAGAUAGGUUUGGAGUGGAAGUGUAGCGAUACAUGGAGCGGACAAAUACUAAUCGAUCGAGGACUUAACCAAAA